rnacentral:rRNA from 1 species
GAUGAACGCUAGCGGCAGGCCUAAUACAUGCAAGUCGAACGGUGUCUUCGGACAUAGUGGCGCACGGGUGCGUAACACGUAUGCAACCUACCUUACAUUGGGGGAUAGCCUUUCGAAAGGGAGAUUAAUACCGCAUAAGACAGUAGCUGGGCAUCCAGCAGCUGUUAAAGAUUUAUCGAUGUAAGCUGGGCAUGCGUCCAAUUAGCUAGUUGGUGAGGUAACGGCUCACCAAGGCAAUGAUUGGUAGGGGAACUGAGAGGUCAAUCCCCCACACUGGCACGGAGAUACGGGCCAGACUCCUACGGGAGGCAGCAGUAGGGAAUAUUGGGCAAUGGACGCAAGUCCGACCCAGCCAUGCCGCGUGCAGGAUGAAGGCGUUAUGCGUUGUAAACUGCUUUUAUACAGGAAGAAACGACUCUUGCGAGAGGCAUUGACGGUACUGUAUGAAUAAGCACCGGCUAACUCCGUGCCAGCCGCCGCCGUAAAAC